ensembl:processed_transcript B230319C09Rik RIKEN cDNA B230319C09 gene
GGAUCCCGGGGCACCCUCCCACCCCCCGGCAACAUACACAAGACGUCCCCUGCAGUUCUAGCGGGUGCAACUGGAGUACGGCGAAGGGGUGGGGAGCGGCAGUAUGUGGGUAUCCCAUACCGGCCACUCUCAGCCAGAGCAGAGCUGGAGCUCUGGUUCUCCAAGGAGAAUCCAGGGCAGCAGAACCUCACAUCCAUCCCCCAACCCCGCCCCCCGCUUUGCAGACUGCAGAUGAGUGGAGUAACUUACCGAAGGUGACACCGCUAGAACACAGCAUAGCUCAAUCUCCAAGCCAGCCUCUCUCUGCUCAACUGAAGAAUGGAACCAGCAGCCAUUUCAUGCAGCUGUGAGGGCCUGAGAAGGCACAGAGCCACUGCCUGACACAAGCCCACCAACAUUGGAAGCACCAGGAACUGACGAGAGGGAAACCUGUAACCUCCUUGCCUCUCCACCAUACAAAGGAUCCUGCCAAAAAUCCUGAACAGCCCCCUCUACCUUUGGAGCCUAUGCUUCCUGGUGACCACACAUCAAUUUCCACCCGAGUAAUUGCGGCCCAUCACACAUACAUCAUCCCCUAUAUUUGAAACUCUUUGAGGUUGUCAUGGGAACUGCCUUCGCCUUCAUUCACUGAUCAGACCUCACAAUUAGCUUUGGCAGCGGAAGGCUUUGUCAAUGGCAGUCACCAGGAGGAGGAAGCAGAGAAGAAGGAAUAAGAAAAGAAGAGAGAUGGUUUUCCUUGGAGGUCCAGCAGAACCAGACGGCAGUGACGCUUCCCUGUGACAAGUCAGGGCACACACCUGAGUCCCUGACAGGUAGUGAUGCUCUUCCUGUGCUCCAUGCAUCCUCCUGUCAGUGGCUCCCAACCGUCCUAAUGGUGCAACCUUUUAAUAUAGGGUCAUGUGGUGUUGGCACCC